UUUAAGACUCUCGGCAACGGAUAUCUCGGCUCUUACAUCGAUGAAGAACGUAGCGAAAUGCGAUACUUGGUGUGAAUUGCAGAAUCCCGUGAACCAUCGAGUCUUUGAACGCAAGUUGCGCCCGAGGCCUUUGGGUCGAGGGCACGCCUGCCUGGGCGUCACGCC
rnacentral:rRNA from 1 species